rnacentral:tRNA from 1 species
AAAGAAAUAGAUAAAGGAAACUUCUAAUUUCCAUUAAAGCUUUUGAGUUUAUAUU